AGCCUUGACAGUGCCGCAUCGAAGCACUUCUGCUUCUCCGGCAGGAGGUGCUAAUAACGCGGAUUGUCCACGGUUCGAUCCCGUGCAGGGCCA